rnacentral:rRNA from 1 species
UACGUAGGUGGCAAGCGUUGUCCGGAAUUACUAGGUGUAAAGGGUGCGUAGGCGGGUGAUAAAGUCAGGUGUGAAAUACCACAGCUCAACUGUGGGACUGCACUUGAAACUUAACAUCUUGAGUGAGGUAGAGGUAAGCGGAAUUCCAAGUGUAGCGGUGAAAUGCGUAGAUAUUUGGAGGAACACCAGUGGCGAAGGCGGCUUACUGGGCGUUAACUGAAGCUGAAGCACGAAAGCAUGGGGAGCAAACAGG